UACGGAGGGAGCUAGCGUUGUUCGGAAUUACUGGGCGUAAAGCGUGCGUAGGCGGCUUUGUAAGUUAGAGGUGAAAGCCCGGGGCUCAACUCCGGAAUUGCCUUUAAGACUGCAUCGCUUGAAUCAUGGAGAGGUGAGUGGAAUUCCGAGUGUAGAGGUGAAAUUCGUAGAUAUUCGGAAGAACACCAGUGGCGAAGGCGACUCGCUGGACAAGUAUUGACGCUGAGGUGCGAAAGCGUGGGGAGCAAACAGG
rnacentral:rRNA from 1 species